rnacentral:lncRNA from 1 species
AAAUUGUUAGAAGAGUGCACAAGCUUUGGAAGGUCGUGAUUUGUAUGCGAUGAUGGUUGAUGGCGAUCCAAACACCGCCAUUAUUCUUUAAUGGUUUCAUUCUUGGAGUAACAGAACUAUUUUUUUUUUUUCUUUCAUGUUACUGCUAUGGUUUCAUUCUUGGAGUAACAGAACUAUUCUUUAAUGGUUUCAUUCUUGGAGUAACAGAACUAUUUUUUUUUUUUCUUUCAUGUUACUGCUACAAAAAGAAUCCCCAUUUCUCUCCUUCAAUUGUUUGUAAAGUACAUCUGUCUUGUAUAAGUUGUAAAUCCUACCUCAAAAAUUCUUGAUUCUUCUUUACAAUUACCAUUUUGAAACAUUAAUGGAUACCUUCAUUUCUCAUCCCUUUGCUUGGUAAGGCGAAGGUGUGUUUGUAAGUAGCGCUUGCCAAUUUUUAUUAUACAACCUGUUAUAUCUAUCUUGUGUCAUAUGUUGUUUAAUUCCUGUUACUUCA